CCGAGAAAAUCUCUCUCAAAAUAGUUUGUUGCAUUUACUUCAGAGAUUCAAGAGUUACAAUUUCCAUGCCCUUGUCGCAUUCACUUGAGAGUUCAAAAGCAUUUCCAUAUAGUCAUUUGGCUUGAACUCUUAAUAGCUACGGCUAUUAUUGCUUUUACAUCACUUGUUCAAAUAUGUGGAUGCUGCUCGAAUAAUUAAGCUGACAGAUACAUAAUUGAUUUUUGCCCUUCAAACAGAUAAUUGAUAAGUCAUGUCAGAGUUUUGGUGGUGAUGUACUGCAAGCUCUAUUCCAUUCAGCAGAUGGAAUUGCAAAUUCUUCACCAGAAAACAUGUAAAUCUGGCUGUGGAGAUUUAUUUCUGAUGAAAUGUUAGCAGUGGCUUCUUCAAAUAUCCUUAUCAUGUUGUAUUGGUCUCUAUCUGUAUAAUUGGUUACCCUUGAGUCACUGUAGUUCCUUAACUAAUCGUACUUAUCGAUUCAUAUAUGUUAUUAGCUCAGGCUAUUACUUUGUCAACAUGUAUUGUUGCUCAUAACAACGCAUUGUUCUGUAUGCUUGUGUCAAGUAAUUUCGCUGAGAUAAAAAGCAAUGUGUUUAAACGCUACAGCAAGGAUAAUGUCCACAGUUUGGUAUAUUUUGUUAUAUCUUUCGGAGUGCACUUGUUGUUUAUGUAUGUGAGGUGAUGAUGGAUAUAAUAAAGCACUCGUUCAUUGCUAAGUUCAAUAACAUAAAGCCCAUUGCAUUAUCCGAAUUUCUGGAAGAUCUUUGCAAACAGACACUAAAUAUGCAAAUGGAGAAUGGGAAGAAAAAUCUCACUUUUGUUCCAUUGGCACCAGCUGUGUGGUAAUUCGAGUUCUUCGUCCAGUUUAUGCUGCUCAUCUUCCAUAUAGUCCCCCCUGCAUGGAGAAUAUUUUGGAAUUUUCUGUUAUUCGUCAUGACCUUAUUGAUGAUUUCAAGUCUUAAGGUGAUGAUUAGCAUGGUCCUUAAAAAACAUGCCUUGUGGUUUGUUAAUAGAUGCCAGAAAAGAAUGUUGAAAAUUUGUUCAAAAUGAAUGGAAUGAUAAUAUACUUAUUAUUG